UACGGAGGGUGCAAGCGUUAUCCGGAUUCACUGGGUUUAAAGGGUGCGUAGGUGGGCAGGUAAGUCAGUGGUGAAAUCUCCGGGCUUAACUCGGAAAUUGCCAUUGAUACUAUUAGUCUUGAAUUAAGUUGAGGUGGGCGGAAUGUGUCAUGUAGCGGUGAAAUGCUUAGAUAUGACACAGAACACCGAUUGCGAAGGCAGCUCGCUAAACUUAUAUUGACGCUGAGGCACGAAAGCGUGGGGAUCAAACAGG
rnacentral:rRNA from 1 species